GACGAACGCUGGCGGCGUGCUUAACACAUGCAAGUCGAACGGAAAGGCCCUGCUUUUGUGGGUUGCUCGAGUGGCGAACGGGUGAGUAACACGUGAGUAACCUGCCCUUGACUUUGGGAUAACUUCAGGAAACUGGGGCUCAUACCGGAUAUGAGCUCCUGCUGCAUGGUGGGGGUUGGAAAUUUUCGGCGGUUUGGGAUGGCCUCGCGGUUUAUCAGCUUGUUGGGGGGGUAGUGGCUUACCAAGGUUUUGACGGGUAGCCGGCCUGAGAGGGUGACCGGCCACAUGGGGACUGAGAGACGGCCCAGACUCCUACGGGAGGCAGCAGUGGGGAAUAUGGCACAAUGGGCGGAAGCCUGAUGCAGCAACGCCGCGUGCGGGAUGACGGCCUUCGGGUUGUAAACCGCUUUCGCCUGUGACGAAGAGUGAGUGACGGUAAUGGGUAAAGAAGCACCGGCUAACUACGUG
rnacentral:rRNA from 1 species